rnacentral:tRNA from 1 species
GGGCGAAUAGCUCAGCGGGAGAGCACCUGCCUUACAAGCAGGGGGUCGCAGGUUCAAAUCCUGCUUCGCCCACCA